UACGGAGGGGACUAGCGUUGUUCGGAAUCACUGGGCGUAAAGCGCACGUAGGCGGAUUUAUAAGUCAGGGGUGAAAUCCCGGGGCUCAACCUCGGAACUGCCUUUGAUACUGUGAAUCUUGAGUCCGAUAGAGGUGGGUGGAAUUCCUAGUGUAGAGGUGAAAUUCGUAGAUAUUAGGAAGAACACCGGUGGCGAAGGCGGCUCACUGGCUCGUUUCUGACGCUCAGGCGCGAUAGCGUGGGGAUCAAACAGG
rnacentral:rRNA from 1 species